ACCUGGGUGGCUCAGUCGGUUAAGCGUCUGACUUCGGCUCAGGUCAUGAUCUCUCGGUUCGUGGGUUCAAGUCCCAUGUCAGGCU
rnacentral:tRNA from 1 species